rnacentral:rRNA from 1 species
GACGAACGCUGGCGGCGUGCUUAACACAUGCAAGUCGAACGAAGUGGCGAACGGGUGAGUAACGCGUAAUCAACCUGCCCUUCAGGGGGGGACAACAGUGGGAAAAGACUGCUAAUACCGCAGAGUGAGGGAGGGGCGUGCGUAUGAGUGGCUAGUUGGAGGGGUAACGGCCCACCAAGGCGAUGGUCAGUAGCCGGUCUGAGAGGAUGAGCGGCCACAUUGGUACUGAGACACGGCCCAGACUCCUACGGGAGGCAGCAGUGGGGAAUCUUCCGCAAUGGACGAAAGUCUGACGGAGCAACGCCGCGUGAGUGAUGACGGCCUUCGGGGUGUAAAGCUCUGUUAAUCGGGACGCGGUACCGGAAUAGAAAGCCACGGCUAACUACGUGCCAGCCGCCGCGGUAAUUC